rnacentral:rRNA from 1 species
CCUACGGGUGGCAGCAGUGAGGAAUAUUGGUCAAUGGCCGGAAGGCUGAACCAGCCAUGCCGCGUGAAGGUCAGUGCCCUAUGGGCGUUAAACUUCUUUUGUGCGGGAGCAAUAAUGGUCACGUGUGGCCAGACGAGAGUACCGUACGAAUAAGCAUCGGCUAACUCCGUUCCAGCAGCCGCGGUAAUACGGGGGAUGCAAGCGUUAUCCGGAUUUAUUGGGUUUAAAGGGUGCGUAGGCUGGGAGGUAAGUCAGCGGUGAAAUGCCCCCGCUCAACGGGGUGAAGUGCCAUUGAUACUGCCUGGCUGGAAUGCGGAUGCCGUGGGAGGAAUGUGUGGUGUAGCGGUGAAAUGCAUAGAUAUCACACAGAACACCGAUUGCGAAGGCAUCUCACGAAUCCGCGAUUGACGCUGAUGCACGAAAGCGUGGGUAUCAAACAGGAUUAGAUACCCGUGUAGUC